rnacentral:rRNA from 1 species
CCACGCCCUAAACGAUGUCUACUAGUUGUCGGGUUUUAAUUAACUUGGUAACGCAGCUAACGCGUGAAGUAGACCGCCUGGGGAGUACGGUCGCAAGAUUAAAACUCAAAGGAAUUGACGGGGACCCGCACAAGCGGUGGAUGAUGUGGAUUAAUUCGAUGCAACGCGAAAAACCUUACCUACCCUUGACAUGGAAGGAAUCCUGGAGAGAUUUGGGAGUGCCCGAAAGGGAACCUUCACACAGGUGCUGCAUGGCUGU